rnacentral:rRNA from 1 species
CUGGCGGCGUGCCUAACACAUGCAAGUCGAACGGAGAACUUAAGGAUAGAGACUUCGGUCAAUUGAGAUUUGUUCUUAGUGGCGGACGGGCGAGUAACGCGUGAGUAACCUGCCUUUCAGAGGGGGACAACAGUUGGAAACGACUGCUAAUACCGCAUAACGUCAUUUGGGGGCAUCCCCGAGUGACCAAAGAUUUAUCGCUGAAAGAUGGACUCGCGUCCGAUUAGCUAGAUGGAGAGGUAACGGCUCACCAUGGCGACGAUGUCUAGGGGAACUGAGAGGUUAAUCCCCCACACUGGUACUGAGACACGGACCAGACUCCUACGGGAGGCAGCAGUGAGGAAUAUUGGACAAUGGAUGGAAAUCUGAUCCAGCCAUGCCGCGUGCAGGAUGACGGCCCUAUGGGUCUUAAACUGCUUUUGUACGGGAGCAAUAAGUUCUACGUGUAGGAUGAUGAGAGUACCGUACGAAUAAGCAUCGGCUAACUCCGUG